AGGGCUAAGGGAGCUACCAUUUGAUUUUUAUGGGGGGGCUAGGAUGAAAUUUGAAAAAAAAUAGCAGGACAGAGUUUUGAGUAAAAAAAAGGCAGGAUGAGACACUUGCAAAAAAAAAAAGCCAGGACGACAAUUUAGGUAAAAAAAAGUCAGGAUAAACUAAAAAAAAAAGGCAGGACCGAACAGAGUGAAAUAUAAAAAGGCAGGACAGAGAUUACAGCUAAAAAAAAAUGCAGGAC
rnacentral:lncRNA from 1 species